rnacentral:rRNA from 1 species
AACGAACGCUGGCGGCAGGCCUAACACAUGCAAGUCGAACGCCGUAGCAAUACGGAGUGGCAGACGGGUGAGUAACGCGUGGGAACAUACCCCUCGGUUCGGAAUAACUCAGGGAAACUUGAGCUAAUACCGGAUACGUCCGAGGUUUUAAUCAGCCUUGGAGAAAGAUUUAUCGCCGGAGGAUUGGCCCGCGUCUGAUUAGCUUGUUGGUGAGGUAAUGGCUCACCAAGGCGACGAUCAGUAGCUGGUCUGAGAGGAUGAUCAGCCACAUUGGGACUGAGACACGGCCCAAACUCCUACGGGAGGCAGCAGUGGGGAAUAUUGGACAAUGGGCGAAAGCCUGAUCCAGCCAUGCCGCGUGAGUGAUGAAGGCCUUAGGGUUGUAAAGCUCUUUUACCCGGGAAGAUAAUGACGAUACCGGGAGAAUAAGCCCCGGCUAACUUCGUGCCAGCAGCCG